rnacentral:rRNA from 1 species
UAGAAUUCCAGGUGUAGCGGUGAAAUGCGUAGAGAUCUGGAGGAAUACCGGUGGCGAAGGCGGCCCCCUGGACAAAGACUGACGCUCAGGUGCGAAAGCGUGGGGAGCAAACAGGAUUAGAUACCCUGGUAGUCCACGCUGUAAACGAUGUCGAUUUGGAGGUUGUGCCCUUGAGGCGUGGCUUCCGGAGCUAACGCGUUAAAUCGACCGCCUGGGGAGUACGGCCGCAAGGUUAAAACUCAAAUGAAUUGACGGGGGCCCGCACAAGCGGUGGAGCAUGUGGUUUAAUUCGAUGCAACGCGAAGAACCUUACCUACUCUUGACAUCCAGAGAAUUCGCUAGAGAUAGCUUAGUGCCUUCGGGAACUCUGAGACAGGUGCUGCAUGGCUGUCGUCAGCUCGUGUUGUGAAAUGUUGGGUUAAGUCCCGCAACGAGCGCAACCCUUAUCCUUUGUUGCCAGCGAUUCGGUCGGGAACUCAAAGGAGACUGCCGGUGAUAAACCGGAGGAAGGUGGGGAUGACGUCAAGUCAUCAUGCCCUUACGAGUAGGGCUACACACGUGCUACAAUGGCGUAUACAAAGAGAAGCGAACUCGCGAGAGCAAGCGGACCUCAUAAAGAGCGUCGUCGUCCGGCAGAUUGUCUGCAACCGGCCUCCAUGAAGUCGGCAUCUCUAGCGAUCGUACAUCAGAGCGCUCCCUCGAAUACAUUAGCGGGCCUUGUACACACCGCCCGUCACACCAUGGGAGUGGGUGCAAAAGAAGUACGAAGAAGCUUAGAUCUUUCGCUCAGAUCGCUAGAGCUUGAUCCAGGCCGGAUCGAC